rnacentral:misc_RNA from 1 species
CAGACUCCCUGGGUUCAACUUCAUCCUGAUUUUCACUCAGCCCCUCUGGUAUAAAGGUCGAAGGCCCAGAAAACAAGCAGAGGUAGAAUUUCUUUGCUUUGGCACUGUUAGGGUAGUCUACCACCAUGCCACCGGAGAAGCCUGCCUUUGUGGCCUGGGUUGUGAUCAGCUCCAACUGCUCUGAGUUCUCAGGGUACAGCUGCAGGACAGCUCGGGAUCCCCGG